GACGCUCGAGGCAGCCCCAGGGCCACACGUGUGUGUCUGGAUGGAAGGCAGUGUCCGUGGGUGCGUGUGAGUGGACGUGUGAAUAGAGCGAAGGUCGUCCGCCCCCGACCCUUCUGGCAGGAUGUGUUGCGGUGGUAGAGAAAACCAGAUUGGAGGGGUUACUGGGCCUGCAGCGGUGAAAGGAGGAAACAUGAGAAAAAACAGUGGGGUAAAGAACCAGACUUGUGCAGAGUGACGGCUUUCAGCUUCCUCCGGGUCUCUCCCCAGCUUCCUUCACAGGCGUGGCCCUCACAGAUCUUCUGCAUGAAUCAAAUGCUGGUUCUCAAAUAUCACCAACAAGAGACAUGACACUCCAACUGGGACCUGUCUUCCCACGAGACCAGCGGCAGCUUGCCCUCGUCCUCUUUUUCCGGUGCUGGCUCCUCACACUCACCACUCCUCUUUGGCCUUUGGGUAAGUUUUCCCCUGGAGCGGGACACUCUUCCACAAGUUAUCACAGCGCCAUUGACCAUGAUCGUCUGGCAAGGCUCUGACGCUGGGGGACGAGGAGGGAACUCUCCCCGCCUCUGGCCUUCACGGCUGUGGUGGGCCCUCAGGCCCCUUCUCCAACAGCCAUAAAUGAGGUGACUCUUUUGCGGAUGAGAAUGCUCCCUUUUACCCCCUCCUCCUUCUGUUCAUUCCGCCAAAAAUUCCUAGUACUAGGUUCCUCGUGACUCCAGCACUCUGCCUUCUUAGAGAGGUCUGGGUGAUGACCCAGACUUCCUAAGAAAUUCCAACUUGUAUACGAGUUUCCGCAGACCACCAAGGAUCAUUGGGGACGCCCUUUGUCUCCUUGCGGUCAGCUCCCAGUCUGAGGAUCUCCUUUCAUCUUUCCCUGUUUGUCUCCUUCUCUGUCCUUUAGCCAUGGGAGACCCCUCAUCCCUCUGUAAAGAUUCACCUCUUGAAUGCCUGCUCAAGUAUCUACCCACCCUCUCCCUGACACCUGAUAUAAAACCAAAACUUCUCCAUAAAUACUGCUCCCAAGAUUGGCCGACAUACCCCCUUAGACAAUCACAACCAAUGGCCCACAGGGGGAACUCUUAAUCCUAACAUCACUCGCGAU